rnacentral:SRP_RNA from 1 species
CGUACUAGCCGGGGAGUUAGCGGUGCCCUGUACUUGCAAUCCGCUGUAGCAAGGGUUAAUUCCUUAUUUGAGGGUUAUCGAAUUGUUUUAAAAACUAUUUUUUCAGACGUUGAUGUGUGGGUCUUACGCAAUAUAAUGCCGUGAACUUCGUCAGGCGGGGAACCGAGCAGCGAUAAGCGGAUUUUUGUGUGUGCCGUAAGGUCGCCUGCACGGAGUUUGAUUU